ensembl:lncRNA
CACCAAGGCUGUGGUAUGAAAAGAUACAUUAUUCCUGAUACAUUGUAUCACUGAGUUCAUAAAGUGCACAUUUCGAUUUUCAAAAGAUACAUUUAUUUUUGUAGUGUGUGAUAUACUCAUGUACCACAAUGCUAUAGGUCAGAGGACAAGAUAUGGGGGUCAGUUUCAUCCUUCUACUAUGUGGGUCCCAGGGAUUGAACUCAAGUUUUCAGCAAGUCGCUUUACCCUUGUAACUAUCUCACCUGUGCCUCAUACGAUGCUUUCAAGUGGAAGAUAAGUGAACUAAAAAAGGGAAAACCUUGCCUGUGUCUGUCUGUAAGCAUGUGUAUAGUGUAUGUGUAUGCAUAUAGUAUGUAUGCAUGCAUGGAUGUGUAUGCACAUAUACUGUAUAUGUGUGUAGUGUGUGUUUGUUUAUGUGCAUAUGGUAUGUAUAAGUGUUUGUGUGUGUGUUUGUGUGUGUGUGUGUGUUUGUGUGUGUGUUUGUGUGUGUGUGUGUGUGUGUGUGUGUGUGUGUGUGUGUGUGUGUGUGUGGUAUGUGGCUGGCUGGAUAGAAUACAUAGUGCUUCUAGGUUUAGCAAAUCUCGCUUCACAUGACAAUUUCCCAUUUUACCUGGUCACUGCUCCUCCUCCAGGAGGAUGUUCACAGGACCCCGCUGGCCAAAGUGUACAGUCAGGAGAACAUGAAAGAGGAUGGAAAGACACAAAAAUAUGCCCUUUCAGAUUUGGGCCACAGUCAACCUUCAGUUAUAUGGAUCUUCAGAACCAGGUCCCCAAGUAUGAUGAUGGGUGGAUUUGGGGUGAACGGCCAUUCCAUUUCAAUCUUGGUGAAGUGAGCUAUAGCUAGUGCAAGGGUCUUCAAGUCUUGCAGCUAAGAAAACUCAGCCAUGGGGGUGGUGCCAUUCCCCUUUGUACAGAGCAUCACAGGAGGUGAGGGCGAUGCAAAAGCAACAUGUCAAAGCCCCCAAAGAGGUUCUGUGACCCCAAUAAUAUUUUUCACAGAAGCCGGUGGGUUCUCAAUGUUAACCACAAUGACAUCCGCCCUGAAGCAGGCAGCAGAGCUGAUGUGACUGCACAUGCUCUAAGACGCUUGCUCUCUGUAGCCCAGGUGUGCAGGCUGGGGUUGUGCCGAUCCAUCGCAGCAACUGAUCUCCUGCACCCAUCCUGUGAUGCUCACAUGGGGUAAUUCGAAGAAAUGGGUGGCACAAGGAACAAUGACUGAACUCUGUCACGCAAGUUUCUCCUCCCAUUUUUUAAGGACAAAUUCUCACUAUGUAGCCUUGGCUUGCCUGGAACUCCCUCACUGUGCCAACAAGGUUAGCCUCAAACUCUCAGAGAUCUGCUUGCCUCUGUCUCACCAGUGUUGAGAUUAAAAAUAUGCACCACCAUAGCUGGCCACAUCUUUCUUUUUUAAAAAAAUUUUUUUAUUAAUUUUUCUUUAUGAGUAGAGUGUAGCUGUUUUGAUAUGCACCAGAAGAGGGCACCAGAUCCUAUUACAGAUGGUUGUGAGCCACCAUGUGGUUGCUGGGAUUUGAACUCAGGACCUCUGGAAGAGCAGUCAGUGCUCUUAACCGCUGAGCCAUCUCUCUAGCCCCACAUCUUUGUUAAGAUGUGAUAGAAUAGAUAGCAGUAGCCCCUUGAGCUGGUCUGAAUGAGAAUGAUCCCACAGGCUCAUUUGUUGUUGGUGGAACUGUUUGAGAAGGAUUAGAAGGUGUGGUUUUCAGCAAGAGACAGUCUAAUGAAACUUACAGAGAUGCUGUUCGAAGAGUUAUGUUUGCUCGAUACAAAGAACUUGAUUAAGAGUGGAAACACCCCACAGGAUACAAUUUCCUCUUUGUUUUGUUUGUCCAUCUCUCCUUUUGUUUUGUUACUGUUCUUGCUGCUAGAACUUUUUUAAAUAAACUUUUUUCAAUGUGAAAAAAAAAAAAGAAGGUGUGGUUUUCUGUUGGAGGUCACUGUAGGAAGGCUUUGAAAUUAUGAAAGAUUUCCCAGUGUGUCCUUUCACUACUUCCUCUUUGUGGAUCAGGAUGUGAGCUCUCAGUU